AGACCCGAAACCCGGUGAUCUAGCCAUGGGCAGGUUGAAGGUUGGGUAACACUAACUGGAGGACCGAACCGACUAAUGUUGAAAAAUUAGCGGAUGACCUGUGGCUGGGGGUGAAAGGCCAAUCAAACCGGGAGAUAGCUGGUUCUCCCCGAAAGCUAUUUAGGUAGCGCCUCGUGAAUUCAUCUCCGGGGGUAGAGCACUGUUUCGGCUAGGGGGCCAUCCCGGCUUACCAACCCGAUGCAAACUGCGAAUACCGGAGAAUGUUAUCACGGGAGACACACGGCGGGUGCUAACGUCCGUCGUGAAGAGGGAAACAACCCAGACCGCCAGCUAAGGUCCCAAAGUCAUGGUUAAGUGGGAAACGAUGUGGGAAGGCCCAGACAGCCAGGAUGUUGGCUUAGAAGCAGCCAUCAUUUAAAGAAAGCGUAAUAGCUCACUGGUCGAGUCGGCCUGCGCGGAAGAUGUAACGGGGCUAAACCAUGCACCGAAGCUGCGGCAGCGAACGUAUCACCCAAGACAACUUUACGGAGUUGACGAUUGACGGAGCGAAGCGACGUCAAAGCGUUCAUUAAAGUCGAGUUGGCUUAGGGAUACGUUCGUUGGGUAGGGGAGCGUUCUGUAAGCCUGUGAAGGUGUGUCGUGAGGCAUGCUGGAGGUAUCAGAAGUGCGAAUGCUGACAUAAGUAACGAUAAAGCGGGUGAAAAGCCCGCUCGCCGGAAGACCAAGGGUUCCUGUCCAACGUUAAUCGGGGCAGGGUGAGUCGACCCCUAAGGCGAGGCCGAAAGGCGUAGUCGAUGGGAAACGGGUUAAUAUUCCCGUACUUGGUGUUACUGCGAAGGGGGGACGGAGAAGGCUAUGUUGGCCGGGCGACGGUUGUCCCGGUUUAAGCGUGUAGGUGUGUGUUCCAGGUAAAUCCGGUUCACUUUAACACUGAGGCGUGACGACGAGGCACUACGGUGCUGAAGCAACAAAUGCCCUGCUUCCAGGAAAAGCCUCUAAGCAUCAGGUAACACGAAAUCGUACCCCAAACCGACACAGGUGGUCAGGUAGAGAAUACCAAGGCGCUUGAGAGAACUCGGGUGAAGGAACUAGGCAAAAUGGUGCCGUAACUUCGGGAGAAGGCACGCUGACACGUAGGUGAAGUGAUUUACUCAUGGAGCUGAAGUCAGUCGAAGAUACCAGCUGGCUGCAACUGUUUAUUAAAAACACAGCACUGUGCAAACACGAAAGUGGACGUAUACGGUGUGACGCCUGCCCGGUGCCGGAAGGUUAAUUGAUGGGGUCAGCGUAAGCGAAGCUCCUGAUCGAAGCCCCGGUAAACGGCGGCCGUAACUAUA
rnacentral:rRNA from 1 species